rnacentral:rRNA from 1 species
GGACGAACGCUGGCGGCGCGCCUAACACAUGCAAGUCGAACGGAGCUGAGAGAAGCUUGCUUUUCUUAGCUUAGUGGCGACCGGGUGAGUAACGCGUGAGUAACCUGCCCUGGAGUGGGGGACAACAGUUGGAAACGACUGCUAAUACCGCAUAAGCCCACGACCCGGCAUCGGAUUGAGGGAAAAGGAUUUAUUCGCUUCAGGAUGGACUCGCGUCCAAUUAGCUAGUUGGUGAGGUAACGGCCCACCAAGGCGACGAUUGGUAGCCGGACUGAGAGGUUGAGCGGCCACAUUGGGACUGAGCCACGGCCCAGACUCCUACGGGAGGCAGCAGUGGGGGAUAUUGCACAAUGGGGGAAGCCCUGAUGCAGCGACGCCGCGUGGAGGAAGAAGGUUUUCGGAUUGUAAACUCCUGUCGUUAGGGACGAUAAUGACGGUACCUAACAAGAAAGCACCGGCUAACUACGUG